rnacentral:rRNA from 1 species
CCCUUGUGGGAGGGAGCUGUCGAAGGUGGGACUGGCGAUUGGGACGAAGUCGUAACAAGGUAGCCGUACCGGAAGGUGCGGCUGGAUCACCUCCUUU